GACUGAGGGAGGGGAUGUCAGGGGAAGAUCGCCUGUGAAGUGGACCAACAGGGUGAGUGAGUAUUGAAGCGAAAGAGUUGGAAGUAGCAGGAUCGAAUGUGCUGAGAGGGAGUGACAGAACAGGGAGAGAUGGAGACACUUCUGCUGCGGCCACCCCCUGGAGGGAAGUUCCAGAGAGGGAGAAUGGCGUCAGAUAUAUAGACAGAUAGAUAAAAAUUCCCUUUCCAGAUACAGCUAUAUCUUGUAACCCAAUCUUCUCUUUCUAUGCAACACAAAAUUCACCACAAAUCACCGAAGAAAGGGAAGUACAGGCCACAUAUAACAAACCUUUUAAUCAGCAGUCGUCUCCAUCACUGACAAUCACUGGGAACUGUACACACGUCAAUGGGACACACACCAACGCUACACACGCCAGCACCGACCUCUUACAGGAGUGCUCAACAAGGGGUGAGAUGGACAUUGCCUUGACUAAUGGAAUACUCAACAAAGACUGAUCACUCACGGACCCAUUCAAACCAUCCUGAACAAUACUUUCAAUCUUGUGUGCAAUUCAAUUAAGAGAGAUGAUGAUGCCCUUACUAAUGACUGGACCAAUUAUUAGCAUUUUAUUAGUAUUGUUCUCUUUUAUUUGAGUAUGUAGUAUUUAUUUCCAUUAUUUUUUAUCAGUUCUUUUAUUAUUCUCAUUUUCUUAUUAUUUUAUCAUUUUUGUUCUCUUUCUAGUGCAUUCCAAUAUCUUCCUUACCAACAUAUGCCACAAGGAAGGAAGAAAGACUUAUUAAACAGCUAGUAAUUAAUGGCAGUUCUUUGUAAAACUUUCUUUCUAAACUGUCUUAUUAAAUACUGGGCCAUCUAACUUGUUCUUUUUAUAAUAGCAAUGCAUUCAACUAUCACCCUUACAAGCAUAUGUCACAAGGAAGGAAUCAACAACCAGCUAGUAAUUAAUGGCAGUUCUAUAUACAAUUUCCUUCAUAGACUGUCUUAUUAAAUACUGAACCAUCUAGCUUGUUCUUUUUAUAAUAGCAAUGCAUUCAAAUAUUGUUAUUACCAGCAUAUGCCACAAGGAAGGAAUCAACAACCAGCUAGUAAUUCAUGGCAGUUCUAUGUAAAACUUUCUUUCUAAACUGUCUUAUUAAAUACUGAACCAUGGAGCUUGUUCUCUCUUUAUGACAGCAAUGCACUCAAUUAUCAUCCUUACAAGCAUAUGCCACAAGGAAGGAAUCAACAACCAGCUAGUAAUUAAUGGCAGUUCUAUGUAAAACUUUCUUUCUAAACUGCUUAGUUAAAUACUGAACCAUCUAGCUUGUUCUUUUUAUAUGAUAGCAAUGCACUCAACUAUCAUCCUUACAAGCAUAUGCCACAAGGAAGGAAUCAACAAAGAGCUGGUAGUGAGAGUUCUACAUAAAUCUUUCUUCCUAAACCAAAGCAAAACAAAGAAUUGAUCAAAUACAUCUCUAAUUUUCCACUCAUUCUUAUCUCAUGACACACAGUAACGUAAUCAACCACUAUAUACACGUUUUAAACACACGCCUUUCUAGGCUGCACUAUGGUAUCCUUUCCAUUGUUCUAUUGAGCUUCACAAAUCUAAAAAAAAUAUUUAUCUCGGUCACCCUUUUCUCAGGCAAGACUUUACCGCAAGAUAUUUCAAAUAUUGCAUUAGUAUUCAUUAACCCCUUCACUCCGGUGAUGCUAACAUCGGCGUCCGAAGGCGUCACCGUAUGGAAAGGGUUAGUCCUCUUCUAAACCUCUUAAUCCUCUUCUAAACCUCUUAAGAGGAAUUUAGAGGAGGAUUGAGAGGUUUAGAAGAGGAUUAAUCCUCUUCCAUUUCCUCUUGACCCUUUCCAUACUGUGACGCCGACGUCUGCGUCACGGAUGGAAAGGGUUGACUUCUGUGGCUAGUUUGACUUUUUUACUUCCAUUUUUAAGGACAGAGUUAGUUAGAAGCGUUGGAUUUUCAUGGAGUUGACAUAUUACAAAGUCAGUCGGAAGAAGUUAUAUAUAAAGCUCAACAAAACUAACUGACCAAGCCUUGAAAAACGGGUUAGAAAAGACAAAUUCAGCCACAGUAGUAUUGAAAGCUAAUAUGAUGUUUAGUAUAUCAGGCGUGAGACCCGUAGAAACACCAGUCACUCAUUGUUACUCUUUAUAAACUCUCCUAUCUAACUUGUGUACAUCUUAAGCUUUUGCAACUCAUCUACAUUACU